CCUACGGGAGGCUGCAGUGAGGAAUAUUGGUCAAUGGACGAGAGUCUGAACCAGCCAAGUAGCGUGAAGGAUGACUGCCCGAUGGGUUGUAAACUUCUUUUAUAUGGGAAUAAAAUGUUCCACGUGUGGGCUUUUGUAUGUACCAUAUGAAUAAGGAUCGGCUAACUCCGUGCCAGCAGCCGCGGUAAUACGGAGGAUCCGAGCGUUAUCCGGAUUUAUUGGGUUUAAAGGGAGCGUAGGUGGAUUGUUAAGUCAGGUGUGAAAGUUUGCGGCUCAACCGUAAAAUUGCAGUUGAAACUGGCAGUCUUGAGUACAGUAGAGGUGGGCGGAAUUCGUGGUGUAGCGGUGAAAUGCUUAGAUAUCACGAAGAACUCCGAUUGCGAAGGCAGCUCACUGGACUGCAACUGACACUGAGGCUCGAAAGUGUGGGUAUCAAACAGGAUUAGAUACCCGAGUAGUC
rnacentral:rRNA from 1 species